CACGUAGGGCGCAAGCGUUGUCCGGAAUUAUUGGGCGUAAAGAGCUCGUAGGCGGAUCUUUAAGUCAGGGGUGAAAUCCUGGAGCUCAACUCCAGAACUGCCUUUGAUACUGAGGAUCUUGAGUCCGGGAGAGGUGAGUGGAACUCCGAGUGUAGAGGUGAAAUUCGUAGAUAUUCGGAAGAACACCAGUGGCGAAGGCGGCUCACUGGCCCGGUACUGGCGCUGAGGUGCGAAAGCGUGGGGAGCAAACAGG
rnacentral:rRNA from 1 species